rnacentral:rRNA from 1 species
AAGANAAGAGUAGGGCGGGACACGUGGUAUCCUGUCUGAAUAUGGGGGGACCAUCCUCCAAGGCUAAAUACUCCUGACUGACCGAUAGUGAACCAGUACCGUGAGGGAAAGGCGAAAAGAACCCCGGCGAGGGGAGUGAAAAAGAACCUGAAACCGUGUACGUACAAGCAGUGGGAGCACCUUCGGGUGUGACUGCGUACCUUUUGUAUAAUGGGUCAGCGACUUAUAUUCUGUAGCAAGGUUAACCGUAUAGGGGAGCCGCAGGGAAACCGAGUCUUAACUGGGCGUUAAGUUGCAGGGUAUAGACCCGAAACCCGGUGAUCUAGCCAUGGGCAGGUUGAAGGUUGGGUAACACUAACUGGAGGACCGAACCGACUAAUGUUGAAAAAUUAGCGGAUGACUUGUGGCUGGGGGUGAAAGGCCAAUCAAACCGGGAGAUAGCUGGUUCUCCCCGAAAGCUAUUUAGGUAGCGCCUCGUGAACUCAUCUUCGGGGGUAGAGCACUGUUUCGGCUAGGGGGUCAUCCCGACUUACCAACCCGAUGCAAACUACGAAUACCGAAGAAUGUUAUCACGGGAGACACACGGCGGGUGCUAACGUCCGUCGUGAAGAGGGAAACAACCCAGACCGCCAGCUAAGGUCCCAAAGUCACAGUUAAGUGGGAAACGAUGUGGGAAGGCACAGACAGCCAGGAUGUUGGCUUAGAAGCAGCCAUCAUUUAAAGAAAGCGUAAUAGCUCACUGGUCGAGUCGGCCUGCGCGGAAGAUGUAACGGGGCUAAACUGUGCACCGAAGCUGCGGCAGCGACACUAUGUGUUGUUGGGUAGGGGAGCGUUCUGUAAGCCUGCGAAGGUGGCCUGUGAGGGUUGCUGGAGGUAUCAGAAGUGCGAAUGCUGACAUAAGUAACGAUAAUGCGGGUGAAAAGCCCGCACGCCGGAAGACCAAGGGUUCCUGUCCAACGUUAAUCGGGGCAGGGUGAGUCGACCCCUAAGGCGAGGCCGAAAGGCGUAGUCGAUGGGAAACAGGUUAAUAUUCCUGUACUUGGUGUUACUGCGAAGGGGGGACGGAGAAGGCUAUGUUAGCCGGGCGACGGUUGUCCCGGUUUAAGCAUGUAGGCGGAGGUUCCAGGUAAAUCCGGUACCUUUUUAACGCUGAGGUGUGAUGACGAGGCACUACGGUGCUGAAGUAACAAAUGCCCUGCUUCCAGGAAAAGCCUCUAAGCAUCAGGUAACAUUAAAUCGUACCCCAAACCGACACAGGUGGUCAGGUAGAGAAUACCAAGGCGCUUGAGAGAACUCGGGUGAAGGAACUAGGCAAAAUGGUGCCGUAACUUCGGGAGAAGGCACGCUGAUAUGUAGGUGAAGCCCCUGCGGGUGGAGCUGAAAUCAGUCGAAGAUACCAGCUGGCUGCAACUGUUUAUUAAAAACACAGCACUGUGCAAACACGAAAGUGGACGUAUACGGUGUGACGCCUGCCCGGUGCCGGAAGGUUAAUUGAUGGGGUUAUCCGUAAGGAGAAGCUCUUGAUCGAAGCCCCGGUAAACGGCGGCCGUAACUAUAACGGUCCUAAGGUAGCGAAAUUCCUUGUCGGGUAAGUUCCGACCUGCACGAAUGGCGUAAUGAUGGCCAGGCUGUCUCCACCCGAGACUCAGUGAAAUUGAACUCGCUGUGAAGAUGCAGUGUACCCGCGGCAAGACGGAAAGACCCCGUGAACCUUUACUAUAGCUUGACACUGAACAUUGAGCCUUGAUGUGUAGGAUAGGUGGGAGGCUUUGAAGCGUGGACGCCAGUCUGCGUGGAGCCAACCUUGAAAUACCACCCUUUAAUGUUUGAUGUUCUAACGUUGGCCCCUUAUCGGGGUUGCGGACAGUGUCUGGUGGGUAGUUUGACUGGGGCGGUCUCCUCCCAAAGAGUAACGGAGGAGCACGAAGGUUAGCUAAUCCUGGUCGGACAUCAGGAGGUUAGUGCAAUGGCAUAAGCUAGCUUGACUGCGAGCGUGACGGCGCGAGCAGGUGCGAAAGCAGGUCAUAGUGAUCCGGUGGUUCUGAAUGGAAGGGCCAUCGCUCAACGGAUAAAAGGUACUCCGGGGAUAACAGGCUGAUACCGCCCAAGAGUUCAUAUCGACGGCGGUGUUUGGCACCUCGAUGUCGGCUCAUCACAUCCUGGGGCUGAAGUAGGUCCCAAGGGUAUGGCUGUUCGCCAUUUAAAGUGGUACGCGAGCUGGGUUUAGAACGUCGUGAGACAGUUCGGUCCCUAUCUGCCGUGGGCGCUGGAGAAUUGAGGGGGGCUGCUCCUAGUACGAGAGGACCGGAGUGGACGCAUCACUGGUGUUCGGGUUGUCAUGCCAAUGGCAUUGCCCGGUAGCUAAAUGCGGAAGAGAUAAGUGCUGAAAGCAUCUAAGCACGAAACUUGCCCCGAGAUGAGUUCUCCCUGACUCCUUGAGAGUCCUGAAGGAACGUUAAAGACGAUGACGUUGAUAGGUCGGGUGUGUAAGCGUAGCGAUACGUUGAGCUAACCGAUACUAAUGAACCGUGAGGCUUAACCUU